AUGUCUUUAACUUCCCUAGAAAGGAUUGUACUGCCUCACCAAGGACGGGGAUGCAUCUCUGGGUGUGGCUCUAUUCAUCUAUGUCCCAUCCAUCCACCCACCCAUUCAUCACCCAUCCAUCCACCCACCCAUUCAUCAUCCAUCCAUCCACCCACCCACCCAUUUAUUAUCCACCCACCCAACCAUUUAUCAUCCAUCUACCCAUUCAUCAUCCAUGCAUCCACCCAAUCAUUUAUCAUCUAUCCAUCCAUAUAUUACCCACCCAUUUAUCAUCCAUCCAUCCACCCUCCAUCCAUCCAUCCAUCCAUUUAUCAUUCAUCCAUCCAUCCAUCCACCCACGCAUUUAUCAUCCAUCCACCCACCCAUUUGUCAUACAUCCAUGUACCAUCCAACCAUCCAUCCAUCCAUAUAUCCAUUUAUCAUCCAUCCAUCCAUCCACCCACCCAUUUAACAUCCAUCCAUCCACCCACCCAUUUGUCAUCUAUCCACCCACCCAUUUGUCACCCAUCCACCUGCCCUUUUGUCAUCCAUCCAUUCGUCCAUACAUCCAUUUAUCAUCCAUCCACGCACCCACCCAUUUAUCAUCCAUUCAUCUACCCACCCAUUUAUCAUCCAUCCAUCCAUCCAUUGGUCAUCAUCCAUGUACCACCCACCCAUCCAUCCAUCCACCCAACCAUUUAUCAUCCAUCCAUCCAUCACCCACCCAUUUAUCAUCCACCCAUCCAUCCACCCAUUUAUCAUCCACCCAUCCAUCCAUCCACCCACCCAUUUAUCAUCUAUCCAUCCAUCCACCCAUUUGUCAUCCAUCCAUCCAUCAUCCAUUCAUCCAUCCAUCCAUCCAUCCACUUAUCAUUCAUCUAUCCAGCCAGCCAGCCACCCAUUUAUCAUCCAUCCACCCACCCAUUUAUCAUCCAUCCACCCACCCAUUUGUCAUCCAUCCAUCCACCCAUUUGUCAUCCAUCUAUGUACCAUCCACCCAUCCAUCCAUCCAUCCAUCCAUCUCAAAAGCAUCUAGUCAAGCUUUGUGUUAGGUACUAG
rnacentral:lncRNA from 1 species